ACGUAGGCUCGCGGCUCGCUGCUGCAGCGCUGCUGUGUUGCAAAUAUUCCAGCUAAAUGCAUUUUUUACCGAAUAAUAGUUGAAUUUAAUGGCUGAAAAGGAUCGCCCAAGAUCUGAGUACGAUUACCAAGAGGCGCUGGCCUGGUGUCGCAGAACCGCCUGGAGUGUAUCCAACAGCUGGUCGGGGACGGUUCAGACGUGGCCCGCCUCGACCCAUUGCUGAUGACGUCAUUCUAUGAGCGGCUGACCACCAACCUGGCCCGGCUGAGGGCCGCCGAACAGCAUCCUCCGUUCAGGGAGAGCCUGCAGGCGCUGUUGGACGAGUGUCAGCACCAGCAGGCCAAAAUCCUGCGCAUCUGCAGGAGGCCGCCGCCCGCCAAGGCCGCCAGCGCCGCCAGAAAAGACACCAGCCCGCCGGAGACAGGGAGCCGCACCCCACCCGUCCCGUCGGCAGUCGACGCGGCGGUGCGGGACGGCGGCGGCGACCGGCGGCCGCUGGCGGCGCCCCACCGCUCCCGGCUCCGCUUCUCCGACGUGGCCGGCCUGGAAGAGGCCAAGGCGUCGCUGGCAGAGGCGGUCAUCAUGCCCGUCCAGUUCCCGCAUCUGUUCACAGGUGGCCGGCGGCCGUGGACCCGGGUGUUGCUCUACGGGCCGCCCGGCACCGGCAAGUCGCGCCUGGCGGCGGCCGUGGCCGGCGAGGCGGGCGCCGAGCUGUUCCCCGUGUCCGCCGCCGACCUGCUCUCGUCCUACGUCGGCGAGACUGAGAAGGCCAUGUCGGACCUGUUUGCCCGCGCCGCCUCUCGCCAGCCGGCCGGCCGGGCCGUUCUGUUCGUGGACGAGCUGGACGGCCUGUGUCGCGUCCGCUCGGGCCGCGAGGAGGAGCACACGCGCCGGCUGAAGACGCACCUGCUGCAGCUGAUGGACGGCCUGCUGUCCGGCGGUGGUGGAGGUGCGGCGGCCACCACCUUCCUGCUGGCGGCCACCAACUGCCCCUGGGACCUGGACCCGGCUUUCCUGCGCCGCUUCCAGAGGCGCGUCUACGUGCCGCUGCCCGACAGGGCAGCUCAGCGGCGUCUGAUCGAGCUCCACCUGGGCGGUACGGCCACCAGUCUUUCGGAGCUCGACUGGCAGCAGCUGCUGGCCGGCACCGACGGCCUCUCCGGCUCCGACCUGGCAGAGCUCACCCAGCACGCGCUCUACCAGCCGCUGCGUGAGCUCGAGACGGCCACCAGCUGGCGACGACUCGGAGACGUUGGCUACAGACAUACCGCGCCGCACAGAUGUUCUUACUGCGCCCCGUCGGCCGGAGGAGCGGGCGGUGCGCCCGUCUCAGUUUACGGGUGUGACGGCGCUAAUGGCGCUCCAGGCCUCGCACCGGACUGACCCAACAUUCCCAGGUCAGUUUAUGGUGUGCGAGCCGAGUCACCCGGACGCGUUCACCUGCUCCGUGUCCGACAUACCCUUCCACGCGGUGGUGGCGCGCGACUUGCAGCUCUCGGAUUUCCUGGGUGCCCUGCGCACCACGGGCCCCUCGGUCAGCCAGGAGAUGCUGCGGAGGCACGAGGAGUUCAGCAAGGGCCGCGGCAGUGCCACCCCACUGGGAUAGGGCGGCGACUCCGACCGACUGCAUCCCCAGCACGGACACAGGACGGCUUAGUGAGUUAACCCCAAGUCAUGGUGGACGGCAGAGGCUCGCUCGCCACACAGAAAACGCUGCAGAUGUCUUGUCUUUGUGAGAGGCGUGUUCAUCUGUCGUGGACUGGACGGUGCUCAUUCGGCGAGUCCUCCGGCCGGGUCGGUCGGGCGGCCGGCCUCUGAUGAACCCUGCAGACUAGACAAUGGAACUGUCCGCGUAUCGGCCGACGCGAUGUGUUUGUUGGCAUUUGAGAUGGUGGUCGCGCGCCGUAAUAUACUGCCGCCGGACA
rnacentral:misc_RNA from 1 species